UGGUCAGUUGCUAGUCUAUAUAUGUUUCUGGACAAAGUAAGUGAUGUGAGGCUUGUUGCGGGCCAAGAUCGGUAGUAACUGUUUGAAUUGUGUUGGAAGAGGAUGUGUCGGCCAGUGUGGUAGACUAGCGGGUGGUAAAUUGUUUCGGCUGCUACAGCUCUCCAGCCCAAGUUGUUGACUGGCUAGUCUUUGACUGCCUCCCAACAUGUUAGUGAGGUCCUGAGCUGAUGUACCCUAUGGCGAAGAGUGAGGCACUAGUUUCCUGAAGUAAUGUAUAGCAUGAGAUGGCACCCAUUCUAAACAGCAGCCGGCACCAACUCUGGCCGACGUUGGAGUGGACAAGACCCAGAUCCUGUGGGGAGGAAAAGUCUACACUAAACUGUAAAAGGGUGUUGGUUUUUCUCACUGAAGCUACCACUCGUGCAAUUUUGAUUGGUGAUUGUGACUUAGUCCUCCUCGUGAUCUACGGCAAGAAAGUGCAGUGGCCUGUUGGACCACCUGGACAGCGAGGCGCGAGAGUUGGAAGUGUUUCCACCAUUACGUCAGAUACUCCUCUGCCGCAGAUUUGGAAGAUUUGCAAUAUUGUGGGUUGUAGAAGGUCCUUCCAACAUAACUUCAGGAACAGUUGCAGAACAAUCGCUGGAAGUGUUAAAUGCUACAGAAAGUAGCAUAGUUGUCAGAAUUAGAGGGCCAAAAAUAUUGAUGGGAAAGUCGAACUUCAGCCCUGAGUUUGAAGGUGUUAAUUGCUUGACAUUCUGAAUUAGGUGGUAUGGAAGAUUACAAUGUCAUCAAAGCAUUGACUGGCUUCAGUGUGGUUGUUCUACUCUGCAAAUCUACGAAAGUUGGUGGAUGUUGUCCUUGGUACUCUGGUUUUCCCUGGCCUUUUGAUGAUCUUUGAGUCUUCAGUGGAUUGAAUCUAGGAGGAGCAGCUUGCCACAACCUGAAAUAGACAAUAGUCAAUAUUGAUGUUACACUGUAAACUAUUAAAUAAAUAUUCCAAUGAAACUU
rnacentral:misc_RNA from 1 species